GGAUGCAAAAGUCGUAACACGGUUUCCGUAGGUGAACCUGCGGAAGGAUCAUUCACACAUUGCGUCUCAAAGCUGCUUCAUCAGACAGUGACUCAAUUUUUGGGGCUUGGGUGAUGUUUGCUGCUGCGAGGGAACGCUUAAUUGAACCUUAUCAUCUACCAAUCUUUGAAUCUGUUUUGUUUUCCCACCACGACGCAUUUUUGUGAAGAAAAGAAGAGGAAAAAACCUGACUUUGCAAGCAUCAUUGCCACCUUUUGAGGGGAUGGGAUGAUGAUGCAUGCAUGGGAGGGGGAGGGGCGGCGCAUGCACCGCUUGGGGCUUUUUGGGGCUUUGGGGCUGUGGUGGUGGGGCUUGCAUGCUACAUGUGACCCUGGCACGGCUGUCUAUGAUGAGCACCCAUAGCGCCAGCGUGUGUUAUUGCGUUCGUUGCCUCGUAUUUCAUAUUUAAAAAAAAAACAAAACUUUCAGCAAUGGAUGUCUUGGCUCACGCAUCGAUGAAGGACGCAGCGAAAUGCGAUACGCAUUGUGAAUUGCAGAUUUUAGUGAACCAUCAGAUUUCUGAACGCAUAUGGCGCCGCUGGGAUUUCCCGGCAGCACGUCUGUUUCAGUGUCUUUUGAUCCUUUCAAGCAUUAUAUCGCCACAAAUACCUGAUAAUGAAGAAGGGUGUUGCUGUUGUAUUAUCCAUGAUACACAGUGCUGUUCUUCUUCAUUUAUCUGUGUAUUGGUGUGGUGGUUUCGUUUGCGCGUCGCAAAUGGUGAUAUCUUUUGCGUCGUGUUAAGUUUUUCUCUGUGAUGUUUUCUCACAGCCAUCAAAAUAGAGUUUCGAUAUCCUUUCGUCCAUGAAAGAGAUACGGUGGUUUUGAAAACACACUGGUGUAUAUCUCGAAAUUUAUGGAUGGUCCAUCAUACAUUUAUUGUGUGGUGGGGGGUAGGCGAUUAUCUUGAUGGGUUAUUUUGUGAAGGAAUUUGUUUUUAGACCUGAAAUCAGUCGAGACUACCCGCUGAAUUUAAGCAUAUUAUUUAAGCGGAAGGA
rnacentral:sRNA from 1 species